CUAGUUUGUCAACGGUCAAGUUCACCUCUGUAUGUGUAGGAAGCUAAUAAAAUAGUGGAUGCUACUAAAGUUGAAACACGUGUUCUGAGGAUUUAUUUAUGAAGAAUUAUGUGAAUGGAUUAAUAAUAUAUUGGACAAGAUUAUUGAAUUCUGACAGCGGUCAUCGAAACUUUGAAUCUCAAAGGUUUAUUCAAUGCGUGAUUCUGAUAUCGAUUAAAUCAAGAUAACGUGUGUCAAUAUAAUUUCUGAGGAGAAACAAACGAAAUUUAAAUCGAAAAAGUUUGCGAAAACCAAUUGGCCCAAGUGAUGUAAUUCUUUGCAUACGACUCAACUGAUGUUUUACAGUUUCGUUCAAGAACCAUUCUAUGACAAUUUAAAAAGAAUAUAAAUUAUUUUGAAGUGGGUUGUAACUGACGUAGGUGACGAAGUCUGCACAUGGUCAUAUAUCAACGAAAACCAUUUAUAAAAAACUUACGUCGUUACACUACACUGUGUUGCAUAAGAACAACAUUUUCUGAAUCCAUUUGUCAUGUUGUCCCCUUGGAUACGUUGGCUUUGUGUCAUGCCACCUCUUCGCAUAUGUUGAUUAUGUAUCACUGUGCUGCAACAAAGAAGAUCAAAGAAUUAACUUUCAGGUUCAGAAACUUACAAAAACGAGUACACUUGAGAUAAUAAUGGAUGCAUUUGUUCUCCCCCAACAGCUAUGGACUAAUGUGUGUACAUAUGAGCUUUGAAUGUCAUGCAAGUGUACUUGUGGCUGCUUUCAUGGUUUGCGAAGAAAGGGAAAAAUUGUGAUAUUACAGAUUUAUUGCUGAAAGUAUUUUUUAAAAAUAUUUGUAGCUGAUUAUUUAAAUCUAUUGGUUAAGUUAUUAAGAAAAGCAGUUAAUUGUCAUGGCUUUUGGUAAGAGUCCACAUUAAUUAAUUCUACCAUAGCAGUUGCAUAUUUGAUACAUGGCUGCUGGAAACUGUUAUUAAUAAUCUUUUGUACUCCAUUGCUAGUACGUGUUACCCAGGAUUGGUCCCCACUGACCCAUGCCCUGUCAACUUGUUUAGCCAAGCUUUUUACAUCACUUGUAGUCCAUGUACUCAGCAGCUCUUGCUGCUGUCUGUCUUUUGUGCUGUUUCCUCCAACUACAGCCACAAUACUUAAUGUUCCUGUUCAAGUUAAGUUUAUACAUAGAAUAAUUCUGAAUUUGUAUCUGUUAGCUUGUAGUAAGUAAAUUUUGGUGUAUGUUGGGAUCCAAACAAAUACAUUAAUCUAUUGUAAAUUACUUAUUCUUGUAUUACUGAAAAAAGUGUUAAAUCUUCAAUUGGCUGUGUUUCUGGGUUUAAAAUUAUCUGAUGUAGAUAUUGGCAUUAAAUUGUUUUAAGUGUGGUUUUAGUAUUUUUUAAUCAGUCAGGUUCAAAUGAUGUUUUACUCUCAGCAAUUCUGUUUGGUAAUUAAGGUCCUUCCUAUCUGUUCUGGUACUGUAAUUUUGAUAUAUGUCUACCUUUAUUAUGAAUUUACCUCUAUUUCAUUCUAUGGCUUAUAUAGGGCAUGUCUUGCCUUAAAGAAUAUUAAUCGUGUUGGGUUACAGUUAAAUUUAAAUUUUCUGUAAUUUGUUUUAAAUUGGCAUUGAAUUUUAAAUUAGAGUCUCAUUGCUUGGCCUUUUGAUUAAUGAAAAAAGCCUAAUUCACUAUGUGACUGAAACUGAAUAAAAUAAAUUUGUGUUCUACUGGUGAAUGAAGCAUGUAAAAUCCCCACUGGUCCAGCACUUCCCAGUUUUCCUACCUGGCUGAAUAAAGAGACCAUGAUUAUCACCAUACCACUAACAGAGACAUUUUAGAAAGUGCAUUCAAGUAGGGGAGGAGCAGUUUGGAAAAGAUCAUGCUAACACUGUAAUGGAGUAACAAACAUCUGUGAAAAAAAAUCAAUCUCAGUCUCUGCUGAUUAGCUCUCACUUAUCAUCCAUCUUUGAAGUGGUAUGAGAAGUAAAGUGAAGCAGUAAUUGUCCAUAUUCCAUAGUAAAGAAACA